CAGUAGCCACGGGAAUACGGAGGGAGCUAGCGUUGUUCGGAAUUACUGGGCGUAAAGCGCGCGUAGGCGGUUACUCAAGUCAGAGGUGAAAGCCCGGGGCUCAACCCCGGAGCUGCCUUUGAAACUAGGUGACUAGAAUCUUGGAGAGGUCAGUGGAAUUCCGAGUGUAGAGGUGAAAUUCGUAGAUAUUCGGAAGAACACCAGUGGCGAAGGCGACUGACUGGACGAGUAUUGACGCUGAGGUGCGAAAGCGUGGGGAGCAAACAGGAUUAGAUACCCGGGUAGUCCCUGUCUCUUAUAC
rnacentral:rRNA from 1 species